AGCUUCUAACUUUUAAAAGAGCAUUUAAUUGUUCAUAUUUUUA
rnacentral:tRNA from 1 species